UUCUUCAGUCCUGUUUUUUCCAGAGCUCCCUUUUCUUGACCCUGUUUGCCUGCUUUCUGGACCUGGGAUCCCCUGGCUGCCCCUUCAUCGUAAAGCCAGUCUGCUUGUCAGUCUGGUAACCCUGUCUGGUUAAAAGUGACACUUGCUCCAAGAUGGUGACCAUGAAGCAGCCCAUCACGAUCACCCAGCCCCAGCCCCCAUCAGGAGGAGUCACUGGGCCCCGCUUCCUCCCAUGAGCCAUUGCAGCAGCGUGCACCAUGUUUAGGACCCCUCG